UCGGGGCAAGUGGCAAACGGGUGAGUAACACAUUGGUAAUCUGCCCUCAACACGAGCAUAACUCCGAGAAAUCGGUGCUAAUACUCGAUGCACUCCGACAAUUAAUUUGUCAGAGUAAAGCUCCGGCGGUUGAGGAGGAGCCUAUGUCCUAUCAGCUUGUUGGUGGGGUAAAAGCCUACCAAGGCGACGACGGGUAGCGGGUGUGAGAGCAUGACCCGCCUCAAUGGGACUGAGACACUGCCCAUACUCCUACGGGAGGCUGCAGUCAAGAAUCUUCCCCAAUGGACGAAAGUCUGAGGGAGCGACGCCGCGUGAAUGAAGAAGCCCUUCGGGGUGUAAAAUUCUUUUCUCAGGGAAGAACCAAUGACGGUACCUGAGGAAUAAGAGGCUGCUAAACUCGUGCCAGCAGCAGCGGUAAUACGAGUGCCUCAAGCGUUAUCCGGAAUUAUUGGGCGUAAAGCGUCUGUAGGCGGCUUUAUAAGUUAGAUGUUAAAUCUUAGGGCUUAACUUUGAGACCGCAUCUAAUACUGUAAAGCUAGAGGAUGGGAGAGGCACGUGGAAUUGCCGGUGUAGUAGUCAAAUGCGUUAAUAUCGGUAGGGACGCCAAAUGCGAAGGCAUCAUGCUGGAACACUCCUGACGCUGAGAGACGAAAGCGUGGGUAGCGAAUGGGAUUAGAUACCCCAGUAGUCCACGCCGUAAACGAUGGACACUAGACAUUGGAAGUAUCGACCCUUUCAGUGUCGUUGUAAAUAGUUAACACGUUAAGUGUCCCGCCUGUGUAGUACGACCGCAAGGUUAAGACAUAAAGGAAUUGACGGGAACCCGCACAAGCAGUGGAGCACGUGGUUUAAUUCGAAGAUAAGCGAGGAACCUUACCAGGGCUCGAACCCCAAAUGCAAAGCCUGUGAAAGCAGGAAUCCUUCGAGGGUUUUGGGGAGAUGCUGCAUGGUCGUCGUCAGCUCGUGGCGUGAGCUGUACGGUUAAGUCCGGUAACGAGCGCAACCCUUACCCUAUGUUAUAUUGUCAUAGGGGACUGCCCAGCAUAACUGGGAGGAAGGUGAGGAUGACGUCAGAUCAGCAUGGCUCUUACGUUCUGGGCCACACGCGUGCUACAAUGGCCAAUACAAUGGGCAGCUAAGUCGCAAGGCGGAGCAAAUCCCAUCAAAGUUGGUCUCAGUUCGGAUAGAGGGCUGCAACUCGCCCCCUUGAAGCUGGAAUUGCUAGUAAUCGCGAAUCAGCCAUGUCGCGGUGAAUACGUUCUCGGGUUUUGUACACACCGCCCGUCACGCCAAGAGAGUCGGUAAUGCCCGAACGUCGUUGUAAGAACGUCGGAAGGCAGGAUCGAUGAUAAGGGUGAAGUCGUAACAAGGCA
rnacentral:rRNA from 1 species